GAUGAACGCUGGCGGCGUGCCUAAUACAUGCAAGUCGAGCGAACGGACGAGAAGCUUGCUUCUCUGCUGUUAGCGGCGGACGGGUGAGUAACACGUGGAUAACCUACCUAUAAGACUGGGAUAACUUCGGGAAACCGGAGCUAAUACCGGAUAAUAUUUUGAACCGCAUGGUUCAACAGUGAAAGACGGUCUUGCUGUCACUUAUAGAUGGAUCCGCGCUGCAUUAGCUAGUUGGUAAGGUAACGGCUUACCAAGGCAACGAUGCAUAGCCGACCUGAGAGGAUGAUCGGCCACACUGGAACUGCGACACGGUCCAGACUCCUACGGGAGGCAGCAGUAGGGAAUCUUGCGCAAUGGGCGAAAGCCUGACGCAGCAACGCCGCGUGAGUGAUGAAGGUCUUCGGAUCGUAAAACUCUGUAAUUAGGGAAGAACAUAUGUGUAAGUAACUGUGCACAUCUUGACGUUACCUAAUCAGAAAGCCACGGCUAACUACGUG
rnacentral:rRNA from 1 species